rnacentral:tRNA from 1 species
GCCGGGAUGGCGAAAUGGCAGACGCAGCGGACUUAAAAUCCGCAGGGCUCACGCCCAUGCAGGUUCGAGUCCUGCUCCCGGCACCA